rnacentral:rRNA from 1 species
GACGAAGGGGGCUAGCGUUGUUCGGAAUUACUGGGCGUAAAGCGCGUGUAGGCGGUUGCCCAAGUCGGGGGUGAAAGCCUUGAGCUCAACUCAAGAAAUGCACUCGGUACUGGGUGACUAGAGGACCGGAGAGGAUAGUGGAAUUCCCAGUGUAGUGGUGAAAUACGUAGAGAUUGGGAAGAACACCAGUGGCGAAGGCGGCUAUCUGGACGGUUUCUGACGCUAAGACUCGAAAGCGUGGGGAGCAAACAGG